CGGUCGCGUAACACGUGGGCAACCUGCCCUGAAGCGGGGGACAACAAUUCGAAAGAGUUGCUAAUACCGCAUGUGGAUCGUGGUGGCAUCACCGAGGAUCCAAAGCCUUCGGGCACUUCAGGAUGGGCCCGCGGCCUAUCAGCUAGUUGGGGGGGUAACGGCCCACCAAGGCUUCGACGGGUAGCUGGUCUGAGAGGACGAUCAGCCGGAUUGGGACUGAGAUACGGCCCAG
rnacentral:rRNA from 1 species